AUGCCCCCCGUGAGCCGGAGCCCCGAGGUGGGCCCAGCGCACCUGCCGAACACCCCGCGGGGAUGCGACCGCACAGGCACCGGGCAGCAGGGAGUGGGGUUCGCGGAAGGACCCGGAGUGCGUGUGACGCGCACAGGGACAGAGCCCCCUGGUCCCGCCCUCGUCCUGUUAAGACUGCGGCUCAGAGUCCUGGGUGACCGGUGUCCCCGUGGGAUCACUAAGGACGGGACGGGGUCGCGGGGCCCACAACGGGCGGCUGCCCUGCGACGGGGUGCAGAGUGUGGGUCCUUGUCCGCGGGCUCUUGGGCCUCGGAGCCGGGGCGGAUGCCGGGGCCGGGGGGCCCGGGGGCGCGUGUUCAGGGCGGCACAGAAUCCGUGAAACCAGGGCAAAGCGCCCUGUUCCGCCCGGCAGGGUCUCCCCAGGGAGGGGCUGCAUCUGCCGGAUGGUGCCCUCAUCCCCGCCCGGAAGCCCCUCGCCCGGGCCCUGGUGCCGGGAGGCAGCCGCCAACACCCCGAGUCUCCCAGCAGCGCUCCUGCCGCCCCCGGCACCCCGGGCGCUGCCGGAGGAGGUGGCAGGGACGGCGCUGGCAGCGGGAGGCGGGUCGGGGCCUGGGCGCCCACGGCAGGCGCGGAAUUACAGGCCUUCGCUUCCUUCGGGAACAAAAUAAUUACAAGCUGCACAGAGGACCUGAGUCCCCUGAAAGCAGCGCAGGAAGUCGGCCGAGAGCCACGUCUUCAGGAGCGGAAGCACCUUGUUAUUUAGACUCGGGAGAGAGAAAAGCCGGUUCGGCGCCCGUGGCUCAAGGACCCUGCUCCCAAAGGGAGACCCCGCAGGAAGGUGAAACCGUGGGCGCCGCCCCACCAGUAAGCUCCCCGCCUCCCCGGGGCGACCUCGCCUCCCCAGGCGACAGCGACUGCACGAGGCCGCGGCCAGCAGCCCGGGGCUUCGGGGUUCGGGGUGCGAGCUGGCCCUGCCGGGGGGACCUCCACGUCCCGGGAGAAGCGAGCACCCCGAAGCUAAAAGGGCAAAGCGGCCCCAACGCGGCCUGGACCCACGACCCCUGUGCACAGCCCCCUGGCAGGGCAUCGGACCCUUCUGGAAGGACGAUCCCUCCCUAG
rnacentral:lncRNA from 1 species